rnacentral:tRNA from 1 species
GCCCGGAUGGUGGAACUGGUAGACACAAGGGACUUAAAAUCCCUCGGCGUUCGCGCCAUGCCGGUUCGAUUCCGGCUCCGGGCACCA